AAGAAUGAUUAAAAAUGCUUUAACAUCUCAACUUUUUUUAUUAUUAUGACGAAUGAACAGAGCUCAAAGUUGGUAUAGCUCAGCAGAAAGCGGCGUGGACAUUGGAGGCAUUUGAUCAAGCAGAACAGGGUCUGGUCUCAUCUUAACUGCUUCUGGUCUCCUGAUUGUAAAUCUGGGGCAGAAUGUGAGUGAGGGGUGACUUUCUCUACCAGACGGUUAAAUCCCACAAUGCAAGAAGGGGUGCCCUCUGGUUGCUUGUCACUCUGACAGUUGGGACGCAUCGCUGGAUACACGGAGAGACGAGACACUUGCAUAUGUGUGUGUGUGUGUGUGAAGUUGUGUCUUGUCUCCGUUUUUGUUUUGCUCUUUUCUGGUCAUGAGACCCGGAAGUUUUUUUUUUUUUUAAAUCACAUGGCAGAGAGAUAUAAUAAAAACAGAAAAAUGGCGACAGUCACGUUGUGGCGAGUCUGUGCUGCGUCAUUAGAUAAUCUUCAUGCAAAGAUCGCUUAGAACAAAGAGAAGAGCGGAAAGGAGCCCCGGCCGCAAAGCUGGGAUCCUGGCACUGGUUCCUUUCCGUCAAGCGCUUGUAAAUAUAGCCUGGAUCUUGUUUACAUGAAGCAUCCAGCAGGAGGAGCCUGGGAGGAGGAGGAGGAAGAUGGAGGAGUCUCCACGGCUCGCUGGGGUGAGCUUCCCAAAGGGGAAGGAGGAGCCAAGGCGGGGCUGGAGUCUCACUCAAGCAGCCUGGAAGGUGCCUGCAGCAGUUAGAAUUCAUCUAUCAGACUGUUAACUCAGCCGCUAAUAGAAGUUUAAGAGGGGAAAGGAGUUGAAAAGACUAAAAGGUAAGUAUUGGUGGAAGGAAUCAAGCAGAAUGUAGAAAAAGAAUGGAGACGAUUUUAUAAACAAUUCCCCAUUACUGAAGUUUCAUUGACGGGAGAGUCUCAUAUUGUUGAACGUACCUGUCUCCUACCUCACUUACAAGUGAAGAAGCAAAUCUUUAAAAACUAAUAAAGAAGAAUUUAAAGCCAUAGAAAAUAUUGCUUUAAUAACUGUCCUGGCACACUAGAGUCUUUCACUUCUAGGUGCUGUAAACUGCACUGUAGGCAGGACCUCCUGCCAUAUUAAAAUUCCAGUAACUUUCAUAAGGAGGAAAGUCACCUACUCAGUAGCCAAAAGAUUAAUUAUAUCCCUGUAACUGCCGUUUUCUGUUCUUAAGAUCACACACACACACACAGUGUAAAAUAUUUGUAAUAAAGGUGUUUUUCCCCCCAUUUUUCCUAGCUUUGGAUAAGACACACACCUCUUCAUAUUCAGUGUCAGAGUUGGCCUGUAAAAAUCAGAGCUAUAAUUCCAAGCUACGUGGUAGGAGAAAAGAAAGAAAAGUUGAAUUCAUCAGGAGAGGGUAAAUAGCCAAUUUAGUUUUUAGACUCUAAUCAAAAGGAGUGUUGUUUAAUUCAGAACGCUCAAGAAACGUGGUAAGUUACUGACCCCAAAAGAAGAGAGUAGUGGAAAUGGGGGGGACGGGACGGACAAGCAAAAUAAAAACAAUGUGAAUAGAAUUUUUUUCAAAAGCAAAAUCUGACAGCAAAAAAUAGAACAUGGAAUUGAAAAAUUUAACAUCAAGUUAAAGUACUUGCAAUGCUUUAGAAAUAAGCUGAACAAAAAUACACACCGAAAAAUGCACUUGAGUAAAUUCAUGUGUACCACAUUGAGAUCAGAGGGACUACUCCUGAAUGUUUUCAGGAUCAGGAUCUAUGUUACCUGACUACUGAGGAAAGCUUUCUUUUUAUUCUAGAAAAGAAGGUGAGUGUUAAAAAGUGAGACAGCAGAGUAAAUAUAUCACCUUAUCGUCAGCAAACUGUAAAUACAUCCAGAGUGUCCAGCCCUUGUGAUGCUAAUAGAAUGAUCUAAUGACGUUUUUGUACCUUUAUAUUGAUCUUAUUUUUAACAUAUUUGAAAGCCAGGAAAUACUUAUUUUUUAUAUAAAUCCUUAAUAAAUGUGUGCUCCUAGGUUACCUUACGGUUACUAUUUUCAGAAAAUGGCAGAUUAUUCUAAGGAUGCUGAUAAAUUUGCAGUUGAUGGCAAAUAUAUAUCCUAACAUUUUUGUACAUAUUUGCCCAUUCAUAUUUACCUCCUGGAACAAUAUUGUAUAACAUAUUGACUGGUCCCUUGUUUAUGUAACAUUUUUGUAAUUUGUUUUAAAAAUGCACAAAUAUUUUUCCCAGGAAGCUGUUUUUAACAUUUGUCUCUGUAUUGCCCUCUUGUGUUAAAAAUAUGUAAGAGACCAUUUUGGUAGUACUUGGGCCCAGUUGAAUGUUAAGCAUUUCUGAAUUUUAAAAGCAUUUUAUUUAACUUAAGGAAAUACAUAUCAGUUUAGUUGGUUAUUUAUUAUGUUAUCCAUAAAGUUCUUGCUCUACCCUAUCAGAAAUAUUUAAGUACCACUUACACCAAUUAAGUCCAUCAAAUUCUUAAAUGGAACAUUAUGUGAAAUGUAAAAUAUAUUUAUCUAUUUCUUUACAUUGUGAAACCUGAUGAAACAUUUAUUUUAAUAUGCUGAUCAUUACAGAACUGAUUCACUAGAUUAGAUGCCUUUAUUCAAAGGGAAAAACUACCAUGACUUUUUAAGCAGUACUUCAAACAUGAACCAGAGAAAAUAUUUUGAUAAACUUCUGUCAUUGUUUGCAGUGUAAUUCUUGAUUUCAGCAGUUUUCAUUUAGACCUCAGUGUAUGGCCCAAAUCAGCCAUCACACAGCCUGAACAAACAAGUCCAUCAGACAGCAACUCUUUUCUUCAAACUCCAGGAUCAUUUCCACAUCCAGAGCUUGUUACUAUUUUGGAUUUGAUCCUGCUCCCACUGAAAUCAAUGGCAAAACUUCAAAGGGAGUAGGAUUGGGCCUCAAAGGACCCCAGUGCUGCAAACAUACCUGUUGGAACUUUAGCACAUCUGUAAGUGUUUGCUGAAUGGAGGCCUGAGGUGGUACUGUGAAUCCCACAAGACAGAAACCUUGUCUUUUUUGUGUGUGUCAAGGUCCUAGCACUUUCAGUGUGGAACAUAAUACUUAAGUUUCAAAGAUAUUAUAUCCACAUAAUUAACAAAACUAUUUGAUAAUGGGUCCAGGUUAAAUUUGUGCAGCUUCAUUGUCUUAAGUGGAACUAUGCCAAUUAUACCAGUUGAGGAUCUUGCCUAUGUAGUUUAUGUGAGGGAACAGCACUCUACUUCAAAUGCUGAUUGAAACCGAAAAAAAAUAAUGAGAGGGAAAAAUACCCUCAUUCCAUCAGUGAUUAUCUCCAUGGAACGAGUAAAUUAUUUCUCCCCUUCCCCAGUUAAAUACUGUGUUCUGUAGACUUGGAUUGUGCAACUCUGAAAAAUACUUUAAAGCUGCUUUGAAUUUAAGUGCAGUGAUACCAGUUAACCAGGUAAUUUUCAAAGAGUGGAUAAAUUAACUGAAGUUUCAGAACACUUUGUUCAUUUCCACGUGUAUUUAUUAAACAUGCAUUAAGUCCAUCAUCCAUGUCCUCAAAGAACGAACAUUAGUAUUUUAUGUGAUCUUUAUUUUUGAAACAUGCACAAGAGGAAACACUAUGUAAGCACACAAUAAAGCAAGCACUAUUCUCUAUGAGAUACUAACAGACAUAAUGACUGACAGGCUGCCCUGGCUCAGUUAUCACAGUGCUGAUGCUGUCUAUUCUAAAGGUACAGUACUGUGAUAACUGAAGGAUGGCAGCCAUCUUAGCUUCACAAGAGCCCAACGAGCAGAAAUCAAAGAAGAUGUCCUUAUUUUCUGGAUACCUGACAUGCUUUGUUUAUGAAAAUGACCAGAUGCUAGAGCAGAAAGAUGCUUGUUGUAAGGGUACAUCUUGACUCACUGGAAGAAAAAAAUAAACGGCUUAAAAAAAAAAAAAAAAGAACCUUCAGUUCUACUGGAAUAAAAAAAAGUCACUUUGUA